rnacentral:lncRNA from 1 species
UGACUUAUCUGGAUUCAGUUGUCUUGUCUGGUGUGUGUCAUGGUUGUUCAAGAAGCUGCAAUUUGACCUGAAUGCUUUCCUGCACAGGAAAUAAAUCGGUCCGAAGACCGAACCGAGAGGGAUGCCUUACACAGCGAGAUCAGCAGUCUGCAACAGUUACUGUACAAUAUUAAUCAGGUGGUCAGUGGCGACAGUUCCUCAGACACAUCAAAAGAUGAACACCCAUCUGUUUCUGCAGGAUCUAUUUCCUCUUCUCAAUGAGACGAUAUUCUGAUAGCUUUGCAGAGAGUGCUCUUACAGCGGCAGGCACAAAUUCAAGUUUGCAACAAACCUCAUGUACACCCUCCUUAUAUGGCACAGGUGUCAUCACUCCUAGUGGAGCUGCAAGCACAUCUGGAAGCUUCCCAAGAGCAGGUUGCCACCUUGCAAAAUCAGCUGAAUGUGGAGGAAGAUGAAUCCAGAAGCCUGGAACAAAGAAUCCGGGAACUGCAGCAAGAGAAUCAACCAUUGGAGAGAUCUGAGGAGGACAGCACCAGAGAUGCCCAAAGAUACCGCACCUCACUAGGCAUAGUAACCAGUGAAAAAAAAGAGAGCUUGAGAGGCAGGUCUCUGCCCUGCAGCAGCAGCUGGAAUGCACACAAGCAGGGCAGGAAGCUUUGA